AAACACUUUUCGAAGCUUUACAGUGCACUUCAGUGCUGCUCUAUACAUCUACAAUGUGGUGUACGUGGCAAUUAUUAAUUUUAUAUUCUUUUUCGCUGUAUAUGUGGCAGGCGAAUGGUGCAUGCUGUCGCUCAACCUCUAUGACUUAUUUUCUAAAAAAUAGUCACAAUACGACUUGUGCGGAUGUCGCUGGAGGCAGCCAAGUUCACUUUUUGAACAAAGAUGAGUGUCAAGCUAAAGUCUGUAAUGAUCUGACAAGUCCGACGCCCUGUUGUGGGGUAGGCAAAUGCAACUUUUUCUGCUGCAACUGUAAUCACGGAUGCAGGAAAGCUAGAAUAACUGUUUUGGGUGAUUUUAAGGCACAGUAUGGCCAUGAAACAGUCUUUGCGCAUCAACAAGCAGAACUGCCAUUUUUAAAUGAAAAAAAAAGCAUCACCAAGCCCGAACCAGAAAAAAAAGAAAUAACACUACAUGGGUUUAUAAUGACAUAAUAAAUUUCAUAAUAUUUUGGUACCAAGGCAACGCAUAUGACUUAAAGUUUUUCUUACACCAAUAGCUACUUUGUAACUAUUUUAAAUAAUUUUGUAACAAUGCUUAAAUUUUCCUGAUACAGCAUAGAAAAUUAAAAGUUCCCAAAUCAUUAA